CUUAAUGGUACCUCUACAACAGAUUUCGGAUUUGACAUCAUUAAAUCCGAUUCUGUGGGUUCACUAAACUAUAUCGAUUUUACCUAUUGAACUUUCUCAAGUUUAACCUUAGAGACAUUAAUCCUUUUUUCAAAUCUUUUUUUCUAAAAAGACUGUCCUAAGACUGAUAAACAUUUUUUGUUCAUCAAUAAGGUAGAAAUAAUAUCCCUUAGUUUCUUUAGGACAUCCUAUAAAAUUAUAUUUAUCAGACCUAGCUUCAUGUUUUUCUAUUUUCAAACAUUUGAUA
rnacentral:lncRNA from 1 species